UAGAACUUGAAUGGUAGGCAAGAAAG
rnacentral:piRNA from 1 species